GCGGGCUUUCAGAGUAAAAGACCUUCGCUGCUCGUGACUCCCGAUGACUCCAAGAAGCCGGAAGAAGCUGGCGCCCCCUGCGGACCGGCAGAAGCUCCACCUGGUGUGUCGUUCUGAUUGGCUGACUCCUUCCUGGAGGCGGGGCAUUAGCUGACAUGGCUGCCAUCACCCAAGCGGUCCUCUGUAGAUCAGGGGUGCCUAAACUUUGCAGCCUGUGACUCUAAAAUACACUGGUCAUGUAUUCCACUUUAUUUAAAUAUGCUUCUUUGAAUUAAAUUAAUUUAUGAAAACAAUUAAAGGGUGUAGUGCAUUAUUUAAUGGAGCUAAAGCUAAAACUCAAAAAUAACCUUUUAAUUUCAAAAGUUUUUUUUCCUUUCAGAACUGCAGGUGCUCCCAGGCGGCGCUGCAGCCCAGCCUCACCUGGGCGGCGGCCGGGUCACCAGGUGAGAAAAGAGACGCAGGAAGCAGCUUGUGUUGAACUUUAUUGAUCAUCUGCAGUGAGUCUGCUGCAGCUCAAUCGGUUAAAUUAGCUGCAGUUUACAGCAAUAACUUACGCUUUACAGUGUUACUCGUUUCCAUGGUGACAGGACAGGAAGCAUCAGGUUCUGAACAAAGCCAGGUACGCUGCCGGUUCUGUUGGGUACUGGUCCGAAAGGUAAGGUUCCGAUCAGAAGUUUAACUGGACCUGAUUGGAUCGAAGGUUAGUGGGUUAAUCAGACCCGGCACGAAGGUUCUGGUUCUGGUACCGGACCACAGACCGGGCUGUGUUCAGAACCAAACCUUCCAGACGCUACAGCUACCAGAAACAUCAUCACCUUCAGGUCGCCAUGGGAAUGCUGUUCUGAAGGGGCGGGGCCAUGCAGGGCAGGGGGCGGAGCUAAGCGCUACAGAUCAGUGGUAUAAAAACAUAGAAA